CCCAAAGUGCUGGGAUUACAGGCCAGAUUAAUGUUUAAAACCACAAUAAAAUCAGAUAAGCCCUCUUAUCUGAUGUAAUCAAUACCAGUUAUAAAUUGGUUAAUCGAAUAAGUCAGUAAAAGCAGAGAAACACGAAAGUAAUACAUAUGUCUUAUAUUUUUAAAUUUAAAUCACACAUAUGCAUAAUAUAUAGUCACCCGAUCUUUACUUUUCAUUCACUAGUCUUCUGAUGACAGUCUUUAAUGAAUGGAGUUUCUCAUUGUCUUUCUUGGAUACCCAUCAUGCGUAAUCUAUAAAAACUAGUUUCUUUCAGUUUCUUUAAAGAGGAGUGAGAAGUUGAAAACACUGGCAACCUGAGUGUAGAAAAUGUCUAGGUUUCUGUAAUUUCAUUCCCAGUCUUAGAUGGGUAUGUCAUUCAUACUGAAUUUGAGGAUAAUUUUUUAGGGAUUCUCCUUCAUGGACAUCUAAAAGUAUUUGGCUUUCCUGAGGGAUAGCAGCCCUCUUUAUCUUUUGGUACAUUGAUAUUCCACUGGUUUACAUGAGAAAUAUUAAUAAAUCCCAUCAUUUCAGUAAUGAACACAACUGAAGUAAACAACUUUGGAAACAAUGUUAAACAUAAAACUUCCCAUCUGGGUACAGAAGCAUGUAGGCUUCUGAGAGCAUGGUCUGCCAGCUGGGAGCAUCUGUGUGCCAAGGGUACCAGUUGGCAGGGUUUUUAAUUUUAAUUUUAAUUUUUUUUUAGAGUGUCACUGUGUCA